UACAGAGGCCUCGAGCGUUAGGCGGAAUCACUGGGCUUAAAGCGUGUGUAGGUGGAGUUCUAAGUACCUUGUGAAAUCCCACGGCUCAACCGUGGAACUGCUGGGUAUACUGGUUCUCUUGAGGUACCUAGGGGCGAGCGGAACAAGUGGUGGAGCGGUGAAAUGCGUAGAUAUCACUUGGAACGCCAACGGUGAAAACAGCUCGCUGGGGGUAUCCUGACACUGAGACACGAAAGCCAGGGGAGCAAACGGG
rnacentral:rRNA from 1 species